GACGAACGCUGGCGGCGUGCUUAACACAUGCAAGUCGAACGGAAAGGCCCUGCUUUUGUGGGGUGCUCGAGUGGCGAACGGGUGAGUAACACGUGAGUAACCUGCCCUUGACUUUGGGAUAACUUCAGGAAACUGGGGCUAAUACCGGAUAGGAGCUCCUGCUGCAUGGUGGGGGUUGGAAAGUUUCGGCGGUUGGGGAUGGACUCGCGGCUUAUCAGCUUGUUGGUGGGGUAGUGGCUUACCAAGGCUUUGACGGGUAGCCGGCCUGAGAGGGUGACCGGCCACAUUGGGACUGAGAUACGGCCCAGACUCCUACGGGAGGCAGCAGUGGGGAGUAUUGCACAAUGGGCGGAAGCCUGGUGCAGCAACGCCGCGUGCGGGAUGACGGCCUUCGGGUUGUAAACCGCUUUCGCCUGUGACGAAGCGUGAGUGACGGUAAUGGGUAAAGAAGCACCGGCUAACUACGUG
rnacentral:rRNA from 1 species